rnacentral:rRNA from 1 species
UACAGAGGGUGCAAACGUUGUUCGGAAUUACUGGGCGUAAAGCGAGUGUAGGCGGUCUCAACAGUCGGGUGUGAAAGCCCCGGGCUCAACCCGGGAAGUGCACUCGAUACUGCGAGGCUAGAGUAUCGGAGAGGUUGGUGGAAUUCUCGGUGUAGAGGUGAAAUUCGUAGAUAUCGAGAGGAACACCCGUGGCGAAAGCGGCGCGCUGGACCACAACUGACGCUGAGGCACGAAAGUGUGGGGAUCAAACAGG